ensembl:lncRNA
AUGCAGACUGGGACAGAUGCAGCGUGGACAGAUGGACAUGGGGCAGCACUGACAGCUGGGAAGACAGGGGGACGCACAGAUCCGCAUCGGGCUCCUGGACAGGAGCAGACAGCCGAGACAGCCCAGCUUAUGUGUGGAGAUGUGCAGGCACCAGACGCUCAAGCUCCAGACGCUUCUCCAGCCCCGAGUGGUGGACAAGUAGGGAGACAUACAGCCCCCCAGAGCUUGAUCAACACGCAGUCCAGCAGAUGCCACAGCCCACGCUCCUGCAGCCCGUGCAGCAGCACCAGCAUGUCCGAGCUCAGCUGGGAGUGGAGCAGGAGCAGUACCUGUUCGGGGGUCACAGUUGAUGGGUUGACAGUUAGCUCCGACAGGACGUCUGAGGCCCCUCAGGAGGCAACGAAUCAGAGCGACCAUAUGACCGCCUCAUCAGGCCAUACCUCUGGCUCCUUCACUCCUUCCUCACCACACGGAGCCUGCUUGGCUCCUAGCGUCCAGGGCCUCAACACACACCAUUGUAACACAAGUCUGUCUCAGCUGAAGGAGCCCAGUGCGCAGUCUGUCCUCGUCGAUAGAACCUCUGGCCCUGUCGACACAAGCGGGUCAGCCACGACUCCUGCAGGACCAUCUCCCGGUAAGCCUCUGCCGCAGAAAACAGCCAGGACGUUGCUGCUCCCUCUCAUAGGUAAACUACCUGCUAUCCAGAGAAAAGCCAGAAGGAACAAAAGGUUGCAGGAGAAGAGUCGGGAGAAGCAGGGGGAGGAGGAAGACGAGACCAGGGGCAGCGGAAUGGAUGCUGGAGCAGUCGUCAACACUCAAGAAUGUCCUCUGGACACGGUUGGGUCAAACCCAAGCAACACUCCAAAUCUCUGCCUGCUGCGGAUUAGGACAGAAGACAAGCAGACGGGUAAAGAGACGGCGCCGUCAAUCAGCUUUACCGCUGAGGAGAUGGACAAAUAUCGCCUCCUGCAAGAGCAGGCGAGGGAGCACAUGCAGAGAGUCCUGGAGCAGAUGCAAGAGAGCGCCGAUGUGAACACGGAGACAAACUACACGCACGCAGCACAGACAGAGAACUGUGGAACUUCAGAGGAGCAGUACACACCUGCGCCCUUGCACAACCCGUCACAGCCUCAAACUCAGACACUUCACACGGACAUGAUGCAAACACAGGGACAGCACACCCUGCCGGUCUGUCACCCAUUUUCACACGUGACCCCACACGAGAACUUCCCUCCGCCCAUGGCGCUGAGAGUCCCUGGCCUCCCCCCCUCUCUCCAGCCUCCAACAUAUCAUCUUACAACACGCAUCCCUCUCCUUGACCGCCGCCUCCUCCUCCUCAUCGUCCUCAUCCAACUGUCCUUCCAUCCACCCGCACCCAGUUCAGCUCCCUCACGGCCUGCACCCUCUCCAUCCCUCCCUUCCUCACCACCUUCACUUAACUCCCUUUUCUUUAUCUACCCUGUUUCCCUCCAUUUUGCUGUCCCAUCAUCCCAUCCCUCUCCUCCCCCAGUCCCCGGCUUUUCAUCCAACCCCACUCGCUCCACUCUCCCACGUAGCCUUGCAACCCUUGGCCCCACAGUCUUUCCUGGAGAGAGCUUGGCCAGUGAGGUUUCAACAGAAGGCGGUGUGACUUUCCAUGUUUAUUAA